rnacentral:rRNA from 1 species
UACGAAGGGUGCAAGCGUUACUCGGAAUUACUGGGCGUAAAGCGUGCGUAGGUGGUUGUUUAAGUCUGUUGUGAAAGCCCUGGGCUCAACCUGGGAAUUGCAGUGGAUACUGGGCGACUAGAGUGUGGUAGAGGGUAGUGGAAUUCCCGGUGUAGCAGUGAAAUGCGUAGAGAUCGGGAGGAACAUCCAUGGCGAAGGCAGCUACCUGGACCAACACUGACACUGAGGCACGGAAAG